ACUAAGCGUACACGGUGGAUGCCCUGGCAGUCAGAGGCGAUGAAGGACGUGCUAAUCUGCGAAAAGCGUCGGUAAGGUGAUAUGAACCGUUAUAACCGGCGAUGUCCGAAUGGGGAAACCCAGUGUGAUUCGUCACACUAUCGUUAACUGAAUACAUAGGUUAACGAGGCGAACCGGGGGAACUGAAACAUCUAAGUACCCCGAGGAAAAGAAAUCAACCGAGAUUCCCCCAGUAGCGGCGAGCGAACGGGGAGCAGCCCAGAGUCUGAAUCAGCUUGUGUGUUAGUGGAACGGUCUGGAAAGUCCGACGGUACAGGGUGAUAGUCCCGUACACCAAAAUGCACAGGCUGUGAACUCGAAGAGUAGGGCGGGACACGUGGUAUCCUGUCUGAAUAUGGGGGGACCAUCCUCCAAGGCUAAAUACUCCUGACUGACCGAUAGUGAACCAGUACCGUGAGGGAAAGGCGAAAAGAACCCCGGCGAGGGGAGUGAAAAAGAACCUGAAACCGUGUACGUACAAGCAGUGGGAGCACCUUCGGGUGUGACUGCGUACCUUUUGUAUAAUGGGUCAGCGACUUAUAUUCUGUAGCAAGGUUAACCGUAUAGGGGAGCCGCAGGGAAACCGAGUCUUAACUGGGCGUUAAGUUGCAGGGUAUAGACCCGAAACCCGGUGAUCUAGCCAUGGGCAGGUUGAAGGUUGGGUAACACUAACUGGAGGACCGAACCGACUAAUGUUGAAAAAUUAGCGGAUGACUUGUGGCUGGGGGUGAAAGGCCAAUCAAACCGGGAGAUAGCUGGUUCUCCCCGAAAGCUAUUUAGGUAGCGCCUCGUGAAUUCAUCUUCGGGGGUAGAGCACUGUUUCGGCUAGGGGGUCAUCCCGACUUACCAACCCGAUGCAAACUACGAAUACCGAAGAAUGUUAUCACGGGAGACACACGGCGGGUGCUAACGUCCGUCGUGAAGAGGGAAACAACCCAGACCGCCAGCUAAGGUCCCAAAGUCAUGGUUAAGUGGGAAACGAUGUGGGAAGGCACAGACAGCCAGGAUGUUGGCUUAGAAGCAGCCAUCAUUUAAAGAAAGCGUAAUAGCUCACUGGUCGAGUCGGCCUGCGCGGAAGAUGUAACGGGGCUAAACCAUGCACCGAAGCUGCGGCAGCGACACUAUGUGUUGUUGGGUAGGGGAGCGUUCUGUAAGCCUGCGAAGGUGACCUGUGAGGGUUGCUGGAGGUAUCAGAAGUGCGAAUGCUGACAUAAGUAACGAUAAAGCGGGUGAAAAGCCCGCUCGCCGGAAGACCAAGGGUUCCUGUCCAACGUUAAUCGGGGCAGGGUGAGUCGACCCCUAAGGCGAGGCCGAAAGGCGUAGUCGAUGGGAAACAGGUUAAUAUUCCUGUACUUGGUGUUACUGCGAAGGGGGGACGGAGAAGGCUAUGUUAGCCGGGCGACGGUUGUCCCGGUUUAAGCAUGUAGGCUGGUUAUCCAGGCAAAUCCGGAUAAUCAAGGCUGAGGUGUGAUGACGAGGUACUACGGUGCUGAAGUAACAAAUGCCCUGCUUCCAGGAAAAGCCUCUAAGCAUCAGGUAACAUCAAAUCGUACCCCAAACCGACACAGGUGGUCAGGUAGAGAAUACCAAGGCGCUUGAGAGAACUCGGGUGAAGGAACUAGGCAAAAUGGUGCCGUAACUUCGGGAGAAGGCACGCUGGUGUGUAGGUGAAGUCCCUGCGGAUGGAGCUGAGACCAGUCGAAGAUACCAGCUGGCUGCAACUGUUUAUUAAAAACACAGCACUGUGCAAACACGAAAGUGGACGUAUACGGUGUGACGCCUGCCCGGUGCCGGAAGGUUAAUUGAUGGGGUUAUCCGUAAGGAGAAGCUCUUGAUCGAAGCCCCGGUAAACGGCGGCCGUAACUAUAACGGUCCUAAGGUAGCGAAAUUCCUUGUCGGGUAAGUUCCGACCUGCACGAAUGGCGUAAUGAUGGCCAGGCUGUCUCCACCCGAGACUCAGUGAAAUUGAACUCGCUGUGAAGAUGCAGUGUACCCGCGGCAAGACGGAAAGACCCCGUGAACCUUUACUAUAGCUUGACACUGAACAUUGAGCCUUGAUGUGUAGGAUAGGUGGGAGGCUUUGAAGCGUGGACGCCAGUCUGCGUGGAGCCAACCUUGAAAUACCACCCUUUAAUGUUUGAUGUUCUAACGUUGGCCCCUGACCGGGGUUGCGGACAGUGUCUGGUGGGUAGUUUGACUGGGGCGGUCUCCUCCCAAAGCGUAACGGAGGAGCACGAAGGUUAGCUAAUCCUGGUCGGACAUCAGGAGGUUAGUGCAAUGGCAUAAGCUAGCUUGACUGCGAGCGUGACGGCGCGAGCAGGUGCGAAAGCAGGUCAUAGUGAUCCGGUGGUUCUGAAUGGAAGGGCCAUCGCUCAACGGAUAAAAGGUACUCCGGGGAUAACAGGCUGAUACCGCCCAAGAGUUCAUAUCGACGGCGGUGUUUGGCACCUCGAUGUCGGCUCAUCACAUCCUGGGGCUGAAGUAGGUCCCAAGGGUAUGGCUGUUCGCCAUUUAAAGUGGUACGCGAGCUGGGUUUAGAACGUCGUGAGACAGUUCGGUCCCUAUCUGCCGUGGGCGCUGGAGAAUUGAGGGGGGCUGCUCCUAGUACGAGAGGACCGGAGUGGACGCAUCACUGGUGUUCGGGUUGUCAUGCCAAUGGCACUGCCCGGUAGCUAAAUGCGGAAGAGAUAAGUGCUGAAAGCAUCUAAGCACGAAACUUGCCCCGAGAUGAGUUCUCCCUGAGACUUUAAGUCUCCUGAAGGAACGUUAAAGACGAUGACGUUGAUAGGCCGGGUGUGUAAGCGCAGCGAUGCGUUGAGCUAACCGGUACUAAUGAACCGUGAGGCUUAACC
rnacentral:rRNA from 1 species